GUUUUCAUAGCUUAAAAAAAGCAUAGCUUUGAAGCAGCUAAGAUAGGAUUUCUUCUUUGGAAACA
rnacentral:tRNA from 1 species